UAGUGACAGGUGGCGAAAGUCGCUUUUCCCGCAAGGGACACUAGGUCGAGGUGCUGCAUGGCUGUCGUCAGCUCGUGUCGUGAGAUGUUGGGUUAAGUCCCGCAACGAGCGCAACCCUGCCUUUAGUUGCCACCAGAUUAUGCUGAGCACUCUAAAGGGACUGCCGGUGAAAAACCGGAGGAAGGUGGGGAUGACGUCAAGUCCUCAUGGCCUUUAUGUCCAGGGCUACACACGUACUACAAUGGGCGGCACAAUGAGUCGCAAACCCGCGAGGGGGAGCCAAUCUCAAAAAACCGCUCUCAGUUCGGAUUGCAGUCUGCAACUCGACUGCAUGAAGCCGGAAUCGCUAGUAAUCGCUGAUCAGCAAGCAGCGGUGAAUACGUUCCCGGGCCUUGUACACACCGCCCGUCACAUCACGAAAGCCAGUUGUACUAGAAGCCGGCAAUUCAACCGCAAGGAGAUAGCCGUCCAAGGUAUGACUGGUGAUUGGGGUGAAGUCGUAACAAGGUAGGCGUACUACA
rnacentral:rRNA from 1 species